AUCAAUGCCACUAUAGUUUUGUAUUGGCAGCUGUCCAUGCUUUGCCCAUUGCGUUUCAACCUCUGUCUUUCUUCUCUUUGCUUUAGACUAUUUUUUCCCUCUUCUUUCUACACAGCAAAAAAAAAAAAAAAAAACAGGUGCUCAUUUUUAACUUUUAUGUAUCAAAAUUGGGCUGUCAAGAUCUUGCUUUAUAUUAUUUUCAACCCAUAGAAUCAUACAGCUGUUGGGUUUUGAGAGUUUUUUUAACCAAAUUUCUAGGUUUAGGCCAUGGAUUUCCGAAAGUGGUUAGCCAUGGGGUUAACUAAGUUUGCAAGAAAGUGUUCUAAAAAAAAGCGAGUAAGUGAAUUGCGUUUUGUGUAACUUUAGGAACCCAGAGGAGAUUCCAUGGGGUGAGACCAGAGCUGAAUACAUAGUUGAAUCAACUGAAGUGUUCAAUGACAAAGGCAAGGCUGCUGUCCACUUGAAGAUUAUAAGGACUGUCAGUUAGUGGUCUGCUGGAACCAGCCAAAUAGAAGAGAACAUUUAUUGUGCUUAUUGCUCCCUCAUUGAGAAAGCAGAACAUUUUGUUUAUAUAGAGAACCAAUUUUUUAUAUCAGGCCUCUCAGGGGAUGAAAUUAUUUGGCAUCGUGUGUUAGAAGCAUUAUACGGCAUAUUAUGCGGGCUUACAAUGAUAAGAAGUGUUUCAGGGUUAUUAUUGUCAUACCUCUGCUUCCUGGUUUCUAGGGUAUUGAUGAUGCUGGUGCAGCAUCUGUGAGAGCCAUAAUGCAUUUGCAGUAUCGAACUUUUACCAGAGGAUAGAAUUCAAUAUUGCAUAAUCUUUAUGAAGUUCUUGGUUCUAAAACUCAUGAUUACAUAUCUUUCUAUGGCCUUAGAGCAUAUAGAAACAUUUUGAUCGUGGUCCUGUGGAUACCAGUCUGGCAUAUGUGCAUGGUUAACCUUUCUCCUCCUUAAUGUUCAAGCCAAAGCGGGCACCAGAAUAGAAGACCAUCACGCCCACCGUUCUUGCAUUAGGAAAAAGGUUGAAGGGACACCAGAUAGACCAUGAUUGCAUGUUCAACGGUCUGAUAACUUACUCGAUGACAUGGAACGACCAAGAUUUUGAUUUGGGGUUUGCAUUUCUUGCACACAAAAAGAAAACCUGCAAAAAGAAAGGAAAAAAAAAUCAAAAGGGAAAAGGGCAGUGGACGGUUUUUGAGAGCAGAUAGUUAGAACUUAAAAGAAUGGACUCUUUUCCUGAUCUUUAUCCUUUGACUAGUCUGCAGAUCGGGUAAGAGCCAAAUCUUGUUUAGUGGAUAUGUAAAUGAAAUUAUUGUUUUUUUUUUAGAUAAAUGAAGAGUUGUAGUACAUUUAUCAUAUAUAUAGUUCUUGAAAAAUGAAAAAAAAAAAUUAAGGAGAAAUCAGGUGCUCAAGUGCCCUAUGGGAAAGGUACUUUGAAAUAUGUCAAGAUUGAUGAUUUUAGCAUGAUGCAUCUUGACAUUGGUGAGACUGUUGAUAACCUUGAGGUUGUUGGCAUCAGUAACUUCACAAUCAUCUAGCCCAAAUUCUACCAAAUGAUUUCAAGAUCCUCAAAAUUGAAAGAAUUUAUAUGGUGUGAAGUAGGAAGGAGUUUGUCCAAGUAUGAGGCAUUAAAGUGUGGUAUUUGAAUUUGAAUGAACUUUAAGAGAAUGAUUUUCUUUUUGUUCAAUUUAGUCUGGGACCUUAAAAUGUUUUACUAAGAGUACUUUUUUGUUUCUCAAUGAAGUAAUCAUACUAUUUUUAGUCGGUAA